UUCAUAGUUGUGGAUGUUUGGACAAAUUUUCGCCAGUUAAUAAUGCGACAAAAAGUUCGUCGCGGGGAUGCCAAAGGAGAAAACCUUUGAAUUGUCACAAUAAUGGGUCUUCAUCUGAUGGAUUCCUCAAAUAUUCAGAUGUCAAAUUGCUAGAUACAAAGCAAUCUUGGUAUGAUGAAUCUAUGAGCCUUCAAGAGUCUGAACAAGUUUGCUUGAGGAAUUACUCUUGUAUGGCUUAUUCCACUCUCAAUAUAAGCAAUGGAGGAAGUAGGUGUUUGAUUUGGUUUGGAGAUUUGGUUGAUAUUAUGACAGUACAGAAUGGACAAGACAUAUACAUCAGACUCGCUUCUACCGAAAUACCUGGGUUAAAAGCAGAACCAAUUCAUUCAAGCUCAAAGGGGAGGAAAAUAAAAGUGCUUUUGCUUUGUUUGUCGCUGCUAGUUGUAAUAGUCCUUGCAGGAGUGGUAUUUUUGCAAAACAAAAAACACAGAACAAAAGUUGAAGGAAGAAUUAGACCUACCAAUAUUCGACUGGUCAACAAUAUCAAGAGUCACAAAUAACUUCUCAGAGAAGAACAAGUUAGGCUGGGGUGAAUUCGGAAUUGUGUACAAGGGUGUUCUGGAUGGGGGAGAAGAAAUAGCUGUGAAGAGGCUAUCAAAGAAUUCUACACAAGGACUACAGGAAUUCAAGAAUGAAGUCAUCAGUAUAGCCAAAUUGCAACAUCGAAAUCUUGUGAAACUUCUGGGGUGCUGCAUUAGUGGGAAAGAAAAGAUGUUGAUCUAUG